AAAACCUAUCAAACACCUCACUUUCACUUGUUUACGAAAACUUGUAAAAGCGAUUAGGUAUAGUUGAUGGUCUAUGCGAUUAGUCACCUAUUGUUUGCGAACCGGUACGCUUCUAUUACCAGUCGACUAUCUUGUAUAUCCACACAUUUGAAAUUAUGACUUUUAAGAUAAGAGAUGUUCACUGGGAAGUACUGUGCGACUUUAUGGAAAAGCAUCCUGAUUUUGCCACAGGCAGGAUUAACGACCCAGCAGGUCGCGAAACAUAUAAAAAAUUAUGGAAAGAGCUCACAGUGAAAUUGAACAGUUUAGGCGUUGGUGAGCGGUCUAUUGAAAAAUGGCAAAAGACAUGGACGGAUUUCAAAUGCAAUUUAAAAAAAAAGGCAAGUGAAAUUAGGAAAUCACAAAAUGCCACGGGAGGAGGUCCUGAAUUUGAGAAAACGUUGACCGAGUUGGAGAAAAAAAUAUUGGCCAUUUUAGGAGAUGUCUUCUAUAAAGGUUGUGGUACA